rnacentral:rRNA from 1 species
AUACCCCUGGAAACGGGAGACAAUACCGCAUAAGCUCGAAAGAGGAAAGCAGCAAUCACCGAAAGAGGAGUCCGCGGUCGAUUAGCUAGAUGGUGAGGUAAUGGCUCACAUGGCGAAGAUCGAUAGCCGGCCUGAGAGGGCUCACGGCCACACUGGCACUAAACACGGGCCAGACUCCUACGGGAGGCAGCAGUGGGGAAUCUUGCACAAUGAGGAAACUCUGAUGCAGCGACGCCGCGUGAGUGAUGAAGCCCUUCGGGGCGAAAGCUCUUUCGACAGGAACGAUAAUGACGGUACCUGAAGAAGAAGCUGCGCUAACUACGUGCCAGCAGCCGCGGUAAUACGUAGGCAGCAAGCGUUGUUCGGAUUACUGGGCGUAAAGAGUGUGUAGGCGGUGCUCUAAGUUUGGUGUGAAAUCCCCGCUCAACCGGGAGGCUGCAUCGAAUACUGGAAUGCUAGAGGGUGGGAGGGUAGCGGAAUUCCUGGUGUAGCGGUGAAAUGCGUAGAUAUCAGGAGGAACCCUUGGUGUAGACAGCUUACUGGACCACUUCUGACGCUGAGACACGAAAGCUGGUAGCAAACAGGAUUAGAUACCCUGGUAGUCCACGCCCUAAACGAUGCAACUGGCG